UGAGCACAAAGGGCAGCGCCAGAGAGAAAGGGCUCAUCUUCACCACCCACAGGACAGCCAGGCACACGACCUGGAUCAGGGUGAAGAGAUGCAUCCGCAGAGUCCUCACCUGCAGAGACGAGAGAGCGGGCUUGUGUUCAGGAUGCUUUGUAUGUGGAGGACAAAUACCCUAGUGGCAUAUGCGUCAGGAGGAUGGUACUUCUUUGGUGUAAUCAGCAGCAGUAUCCUGUCCCACAUCUGGAUUCCACUGAGAGACGUGAUACCCAUGUAGAGGAAGAUACCGAACAAGGCUGUCAUGGGAAUCAUCUUCAGUAUAGGUUCCAUGUAAAUAGAAACACCUGUGUAUCACAGAACAUGAAUAAAUAUGAAAGACAGUUCAAUUUUGAUUCAUUCCGCCGGGUCUCUAUCAGAACUGUAGAUGGCAGCACUUACCAACCAAGAGGGCCACAAGGAAACCACUGAUCCUUUGCUCCACCACCUUCUCAAUCUCUGGCUUCGGGCCCUUGGUCAUAACAGUGAGGGCGUUGGCGUGGGUGACGGAUCUCACCGUGGCAGCGCUCAGCCAAGGCACGCCGAAAAUGGAUGCGAUGCCUCCCAUGGUGACGAGUACGAGCAGAUCGAAAUGGAAGCCCGAGCCUUUGAUCAUCUUCCUCUCAGGUUUGCUCACGAUCAGCCUGGCCAUUCACAGAAAGCAAAAAACGGUUUUACAACAUCUUUUCUGCCUGUAAUUAUUCAAAGUUUAAUAGAUUAGAGACAAAGAUUCCAUAGCCAUGUAGAUAGACGUAGGCUCACGUAGUGAUCUGGGACUCGAGAAAGAUGAGGAUGAAGACGAGGAGUGCUGGAACACAACAGGCGCCCAUCAUCCAGCCAGGGAAGGGCUUGUUCAGUCCCAUGGGGUUAAUGAUCCAACCUCUGGCUUUGGGGUUGGUCACCUCAACACCUUUAGGCACAACAAGUUUCUGCAGGACAAAAGAAUGCUUUUAAUUUAGCCCACUUCACACCAAACAUAGAGGAAGAGGAAUUGUAUUUGAUUUAAGCCUCCUUGCCUGAGUGUAGGCGUCCUCAAUGCUGAUGUCCACAGCGAUCAUGAAGAAAAUAGCAAUGGGCACGCCGAAAUCUCCAAUCAAACGACGGAGCUGCACGGGCAGCAGAGAACACAAGGAAUGAACGGAGUGCUCAUGUCUAACAUCAUCUCUGUGUGUAUGAAUCUCAUCUUACUGGGCCGGGGAAGUAAUGGCCAUUCUUGAACUGGCGGAGGAAGAAGGCGAUGAAGAAGCAGCCAAACAUCAGGCACAUAGACAGCAGGGCAGUGUUGGGAUACGGCCUCUCGUACUCGACCUCGUGGACGGUCACAUUGCCGUCCGAAUGAUACUCCGUAUGCUCCUUGACCAGCGGGUGGAAGGGGUUGUCCAGUGACGUAUUCAGGUGUUCGUAGUUGAGGAUCAGAGGGUGGGUUCUGAAGAUCUGAGCAGGAGAAGAUAUAAGCGGCGGCGUGAGUACAAGUCGACACAUUCAACGGUGACAGCAUGGAGAUGAUGAGAAAUGAAGGAAUGAGAUGAGGAAACCAUGAUGAGCUUGUUGAAGGUCUCGUAGAUGAAGAUGAGCGAGAUGAGGAUGGAGAAUAUUUCCUGAGUGAAGCGGCUGAUGUAUCGGACCAGGAAGCUGCCUUCCACAGCCACAAUGAUGACCACUAUGACUAUGAGCCACAUCCCCACCCAGGUACGACCCACAAUGUACUCAAUGUUCUGGGCCUUGCAGAACUAGUAUGGGAUAAAGGAGGUAUAAUGAGCAUUAAUGAGGAAAACAGUGAGUAAAGGUUUAUUGCAGGUGUAUCAUAGUCUUGUACAUACUAAGAAAAAGGCUUCCUCAAACACCAGCAGUGGUCCAGAGAAGCCAAUGACGAGGACGGGCUGGGCGGCGAUGAGGCAGAAGAUGAUGCCCUGGACGCAGGUGGAGAUCAUGAGCUCCGACACGCCCAUCAUCUUCUGCGUUUUCUCAGCUAUAAUUAGACCCAAAGCAGGCCUCCAAAAGUGAUGGCCGGGGACAGGGCAGCAAAGUAAAUGAAGAUGACGGCCGAGAGCACCUGAGGGUUCAGACCGUCCAGGUAGUCGCUGAGGUAGUGGCGGUAACGGCGCUUCACGUCCUUCACCAUCCCACCAAAGGGGUAGCCGGUACGGGCCAGGGGGUCGUCCUUCGGCCCCGCUGGGGGUUUGUCAUCUGGAAAAUGAAACAAAUACAUUUAUGCUAAGCUAAGCUAUGAUUAGCUUCUGCUAAGAUAUGAUUAGCUUCUGCUGAGCUAUGAUUAGCUUAGCUUAGCAUAACGAUUGGCUGUUUAUGGUUUCUUAAACUGAUGCUCCUCUGUGCCCGUGUACUGGUGUCACGUUUGUGUUUGCUGACCUUUGACCCUGUCUCCAAACGCCAGACGAGAGUCGCUGGGACGGAGUCUGUCACGCAGCAUCUUCUGCUGGUAGCUGAUUACUGGCUCCAGCAUCGACGUCUCCUGGAUCUCAGUGGGAGGAAUCACGAUGCUGCAGUCCAUGAAUUCGGCGAUGGCGUUUGUCACAUCUUUUUCGGUCUGCGCUAAGAACACCUCCAGGCAAAAAACCUGUGGAAAAGCAACGCAGUGGUGGUUCGCGUCUACUGCUCGCUGUGCUCGGCCUCUGUCGCCUGCCGCCCCCCCGUCCUUCUUACCCAGUCGGCCAACAGGGCGCCCAUGGCUCGGCCGCAUUCGCUGUAGUUUAUCCCGCUUUGGCUGGGCCCCACCAUCAUGAAGACGAAGCGAAUUGGGACGGGAGUCUCCAGGACAGUGUCCAUCACAACAGAGUCAUUCAGACGCACAAAGGCAACAACUGGUUUCUGCAGGGAAUCCAAAACACCUGGUGGACAGAAAACACACUUUAGCUUUAAGAGCGGAGGCCCAUUGUGUAAGAUUAGAAUAGAAUAGUAUAAACAUACCUGAGAGGACGAUUGAGGCCUCUAUGUUGUCCGAGGCGUCUCUCUGUAAAGAGAUUUGUUCUUUUCAGUAAAUGUCAAUAUACAUGAAGAAAUUAAAGUCCAUAAAAACCAAGGGAUGAUACCUUCUUUGUGACAGAAAAAGCCCUCAUCUCAAUGUGUCCAGCAGCGGUAACCACAGGUCCCUCAGACUGACUAGUGAGGACAAAUGAAUGGAGCGUUAACAAGCUGCAGCGUUACAGUAAACAGGGUCUAACAGGGUCUGGGAGACCCAUGUUACCUGCGCUUCAGGAGCAGAGCUCUCAGCAGGUCCUCGCGGUCGCUCGCACGGAUCUCGUUCCUGUUCAGCAGCUCGUCAGCCACUUUCUCGGACACCGACGACAGCGUGCUGGCGUUCAUGUUCAGGAUGAUGGCGCCUAAGGUCACGAAAGGUCACGGGUUAGUUUUGGCGUCAGCCGGUCCUAUGACUGGACGGACACGCGGCGUCACCUGUGCUCAUGGUCCUGCGGACGUGAAGCAGACUCUUGAAGGUGAGAUAGGAGACAUGAGAAGGACCCCACACGCCUGUGACAGGGUUGAAGUUCUCCUCGAACCCCACCCAGCGGGCCGUCUGCUGCCAGGUGCCCACCUGGAGCUCAUUCAGCUCCACAUAGGCCUGUUGUAAUGCAAAGUGGUCCAUUACACAGCAGAAAGUAGGAGCAGGGAAUGUGUUGACGUCUAUUCACUGUUUGUACAGUUGAUAAGAUCGUGAACUAACUUGAGCAUCGCCUCUUGUGCUGGCGUUGGUGUUCAGGUUCAUAUAAGCUGAAAUGAAAAAAUGACUUUUCAUUAUAUUAGUAAGAUAGAAAUCUGGCAAAACAAAACCCAUCUGAGCAGCUGUCAGGAGAGUUUACCCUCUGAGCCGCUGGGGAUGACGAUAGUCUCCACGUGACGCUCGGCAUCCUCAUCCUCCUCCUCCUGUCUCCUUUCCAGGUCAUAGUCGCUGCCCUGGUUUAGAGAUGGGCUGGAGGAGAAAUAUUAAUAAAGGCUAUGGAUGACUGGUUUUAAACUCAAAGAGAAACUAUUAUAUGUCACUGUUAUUAGUUAACGUAGCUGUAACUGUAGUAAUCAAAAGUCCACAAUUCAUAAAAGUAAGAGACGCUAUGAAGUCAUAAAAUCCCGACACCCUUAAAAAGGCUGCAUUUCUCUUUUUAGCCACGCGAGGGCAGCGUUGCACAGUGUAAUCAGCGGCGCUCUCAUCUCAGACUCCUGUCACUUUUGCAUGUGUUGACUAUCUGACCCCUAGUGGACAUGUGACACAUGUUCUUAGGUUUGAGCCUAAUAUCCUUUGCUCCGUUUUGGAGCAUCUAAAUGCCACAUUCACUGCUGUUUGGUUGGUGCUGGGCAGCCAGACAGCAUACUUCAGAUUCCUACAUGCUUCCUGCUGCAGACGCACAUAAAGUCCUUAAAUAAAGCUAUUUGUCAUCUCUUCUACAGGGGCGGAGAGGAAGCACUCACAGUCUCAGAGGCGAGGGGAACGCCUCGUGGUCUUCACAAGACAUGUCACUGUCCUGAAAGAGAAUGGACAGAAGAAGCUGGAUGAAGACGGGUCCAUCAAUACUAUCUGACUGUCAUUCAUAGCACAAUGAAAUUUGCCAGCAGUAUUUAAAAAUGUUCAACUCUGUCUGAGGAAUGACGACCAACCUGCUCAAAGAAGAAAUUAUUUUCCAUUGAUGUGUCUCAGAUGAACUCCCUAAGACACAAACAUUGGCUUAGAAUAAUAUUUUAUUAAUGCCACACACACCAGAGACUCAAAAGGGAUCAAAAAGAGGGAUUUUGAAAUAAAUAUCAUAACUGA